GCCUAGCAGAGGCCACUCACACACACACUAUCUGCCUAGCAGAGGCUUGGAUCCCAGAGAGUUCCCCUGUCUUCUGUCUGGUACACUUGGAGGGAAGAUCGCCUGAGCUGUCCCACCCAGAUGGCAGACAGACCAAAUGUCCCUGCGCCCUGGUCAUUCUGAGGACACUAGAGGCCAGCCUGAUUUAAGAGACUAAUAUAUGCAUGGCCCUUCAUUCUCAAAGCUGCUGAGGACUCUGCAUGGCCUUCUCACAUCCAGACCUCAAGUCCAGGCAUGAAGGUUGAGCAGGGGGCCACUGGGAGUGUCCCAGCGGCUGGAAGGCACCUCCAGCUGCAGAUUCAUCGAUGCUGGGCAUAACCUGGUUAAUCUCCCAUCCCAUCCAUUCCAGGUUAUUGAAAUGACAGACCCCCAAGAAAACGGGAUUCUCCCGGGAAUUUCACACUAGGAGAAGAGAAGCCACAAGCCUAGGCCAGUCGGGGACAGGACACUUCUCCUGGGGAGAGCCUAGGACCUCGGUCGAUCACCUGACAGGAGAGGCUGGACGGGACCACACCUUGACCUUGGCCUGCUGAGCUCUGCAUAACUCUGGGCCUCUGGUGACUCCUCUGUCUCAUUUCAGGACUCACAUGGACUUGGGGUGGGGGGAGGGGGAGUCACACGAGCUCUGUCCAUUUUCUCAAUGUCGCUACAUCGAGUAAACCUCCUUUCCCUGCUUUUUACUGUCAGUUUGGAUGUUUUCAUCGGCUUGUAGAGGAUGGGUAGCUAAACCUGAUUUGAUGGGGGCUCAGGCUGUGACCCCAAGUCUAAUAACAGGGACAUAAACUCAUUCUGUGACGCUCAGCCAUUCUGCACAGGCUCUGGAAAUGGAAUUCGGGUCUUCUCAUGCCAAGCCUUUACCAACUGAGCUACCUAACCUAUGCCUAGUGUCCCCUCACGAAGGCACAGGGGUUGUGAACUGAAUCACUGAGAGGCAAAAAGACAAGGAUACCUCUCUCUGGCCAAAAGGCCAUGCAAAGGUCCUGGGGUCACGAGUCAGGCUCUGACUAUCUCUUGAGGAUGUUCUGUCCCUUUCCAUUGAGGUUCGCCUCUCAAAAUCACCAUGAUAGUUCUCUACAAAGCCCUGCUACUCUAUGCAUCGACCUCAAACUCACAGAGUUCCAGGUGCUUCUGUCUCCCAGCUUCUGGGAUUAAAGGGCUGGACCACCAUGCCCGACUCACCAUGACAUCUCAAACAGUGAUCGCAGCUGGGGUACAAAAUGUCCUUAUAGUGGUUUGAAUAUGCUUAGCCCAUGGGAAGUGCUACUAUUAGGAGGUGUGGCCUUUGUUGGAGGAAGUUUGUUACUGUAUAGGUUGACUUUGAGGGUCCCUAGUGCUCAAGUUCUGCCCAAUGGAGAAGAGUCAGUCUCCUGGCUGCCUUCUGAUCAAGAUGUAGAACUCUCAUCUCCUUCUCCAGCACCGUGUCUGCCUGGGUGCUGCCAUGUCUCCUGCCAUGAUGAUAAUGCACUGAACCUCUGAAGUUGUAAGCCAGCCCCAAUUAACUGUUUGCCUUUAUAAGGGUUGCCGUGGUCAUUGUGUGUCUUCAUAGCAAUUAAAUCCUAACUGAGGCAGUCUUUAUGCCCAUAGAUCACUAGGACACCAGGAAUAUAAAACACGCAGGGGCCUCUUCUCAUUGGAAGAAUUACCUGUUUUCUGCCCAGAAGGCUGGGAGUGGGUUCUGUUAAAGGUCACAAUAUGGUGACCUAUUUACUAUCUGUGGAGGCAGACCUCAUCCAAACCCUCCAGAAUGAUUAUUCCAGACUCCCCCCUCCUUAGAUCAUUAGUCACCCUGAGGGGAGAUGUCACAUGUAUGUUAUGGCCUGCUGACCUCUAUGCAGUCAGAGACCACACUAGAUUCUAGACCUUCUAGCUAUCGAUCCCACUCAUGGUCACAUGCACGCUGUAAAGGAGUUUCUGUGUAAAUCACCUUAAGCCUUACUGUGCACCCGGAAGUGGGAUGAUGGUUCCCCGGGAACUUUCCCCCAAACUGUGCUGUGUUUUAAAUAUGCUGACAAUGCUGAGCGGUGGUGGUGCACGCCUUCAAUCCCAGCAACUCAGGAGGCAGAAGCAAGUGGAUCUCUGAGUUCCAGGCCCAGAGAUCCUGGUCUACAGAGUGAGUUCCAGAACAAACAGAGCUACACAGAGAAACCCUGUCUCUAAAACAAGCAAACAAAGCUGACAACGAGGCCCCUGGAAUUAGACUCCCUGAAGUCUGGUCCAGGCUCAUGAAGUCCAUCUCAUCUCUUCAUGGGUUCACUUCCCCAGCCGGAUACCUGCUGGCUCUCCCUGAAGUGGCACCCAACCUGGGGCAUACGACCCUCAGAGAAGGUAAGAAAAGUUUUAAUUAAAUAGAAAUUAUAGGGGUUAGAGAGACUAGGUCUUCUCACUGAAAAGGGGCCAGUGGAGACCUGAGGUGAGAGAGUGGGUUAACGUGAAUCUUUUUCAAUCCUUUGGACAAAACAUUUUGUGCAAUUAUUGAAAUGUUUGUUAAGACCCAUCGAAUCAAGAUUUUUAGAGCAUUAUAUUCUGCAACUUUGUACCCAUAGGAACUAAUAUGAAGAAAUAGCGUAGAAGGUCAAAUAUUUUAGAAAAAGAGAAAGGAAGAAAGGG
rnacentral:lncRNA from 1 species